UACAGAGGUCCCAAGCGUUGUUCGGAUUCACUGGGCGUAAAGGGUGCGUAGGCGGUCGGGUAAGUCUGAUGUGAAAUCUCACAGCUUAACUGUGAAACUGCAUUGGAUACUAUCCGGCUAGAGGAAUGGAGGGGAGACUGGAAUACUUGGUGUAGCAGUGAAAUGCGCAGAUAUCAGGAGGAACACCGGUGGCGAAGGCGGUGGUCUGGGCCGGCACUGACGCUGAGGAGCGAAAGCGUGGGUAGCAAACAGG
rnacentral:rRNA from 1 species